UACGAAGGGGGCUAGCGUUGCUCGGAAUCACUGGGCGUAAAGGGUGCGUAGGCGGGUUUUAAGUCAGAGGUGAAAUCCUGGAGCUCAACUCCAGAACUGCCUUUGAUACUGAAAGUCUUGAGUAUGGGAGAGGUGAGUGGAACUGCGAGUGUAGAGGUGAAAUUCGUAGAUAUUCGCAAGAACACCAGUGGCGAAGGCGGCUCACUGGCCCAUUACUGGACGCUGAGGCACGAAAGCGUGGGGAGCAAACAGG
rnacentral:rRNA from 1 species